rnacentral:rRNA from 1 species
CCUACGGGAGGCAGCAGUGAGGAAUAUUGGUCAAUGGCCGGAAGGCUGAACCAGCCAUGCCGCGUGAAGGUCAGUGCCCUAUGGGCGUUAAACUUCUUUUGUGCGGGAGCAAUAAUGGUCACGUGUGGCCAGACGAGAGUACCGUACGAAUAAGCAUCGUCUAACUCCGUGCCAGCAGCCGCGGUAAUACGGGGGAUGCAAGCGUUAUCCGGAUUUAUUGGGUUUAAGGGGUGCGUAGGCUGUGAGGUAAGUCAGCGGGGAAAUGCCCCCGCUCAACGGGGUGAAGUGCCAUUGAUACUGCCUUGCUGGAAUGCGGAUGCCGUGGGAGGAAUGUGUGGUGUAGCGGUGAAAUGCAUAGAUAUCACACAGAACACCGAUUGCGAAGGCAUCUCACGAAUCCGCGAUUGACGCUGAUGCACGAAAGCGUGGGUAUCAAACAGGAUUAGAUACCCUAGUAGUC